rnacentral:rRNA from 1 species
GACAGAGGUGCCGAGCGUUAGGCGGAAUCACUGGGCUUAAAGCGUGUGUAGGCGGCGGCGUAAGUACCUUGUGAAAUCCCACGGCUCAACCGUGGAACUGCUUGGUAUACUGCGGAUCUUGAGCCACCUAGGGGCGAGCGGAACAAGUGGUGGAGCGGUGAAAUGCGUAGAUAUCACUUGGAACGCCAAUGGUGAAAACAGCUCGCUGGGGGUGUGCUGACGCUGAGACACGAAAGCCAGGGGAGCAAACGGG